UUCGCCCUACGGGACGCAGCAGUGGGGAAUAUUGGGCAAUGGGCGCAAGCCUGACCCAGCAACGCCGCGUGAAGGAAGAAGGCUUUCGGGUUGUAAACUUCUUUUAAGAGGGAAGAGUAGAAGACGGUACCUCUUGAAUAAGCCACGGCUAACUACGUGCCAGCAGCCGCGGUAAUACGUAGGUGGCAAGCGUUGUCCGGAUUUACUGGGUGUAAAGGGCGUGUAGCCGGGCCGGCAAGUCAGAUGUGAAAUCCCCAGGCUCAACCUUGGAACUGCUUUUGAAACUGUUGGUCUUGAGUAUCGGG
rnacentral:rRNA from 1 species